AUGGAGAUGCAUCCAUCAGAUGAUGUUCCUGUUGAGCGGCCCAGGAGACAAUCAUCUCUGCCUGCGCACUUGCAGGAUUAUGACUUGACUGGCUACAAUCUACAAAGAUCCUUAUCACCACCUAGCUAUUCCCAUGAAACCCCCUGUGCUGUGUCACCUGAGGAGGAUGUCAGGAUGGACACCCCACAUGUAGCAGCACAUCACAGUGACUAUCACAGUCCUCAACAGUGGUAUGUAGCAGAUCGAUGGGAUCAGCAGGUUGAAACCUUGAGAGAAGAAAAUGCUGAUUUAAGGAGACAACAAAGUGGCCUGAUUACUACAGCUCAGCAGCUGAAGGAGGAAAGAGAUGAUCUUAAGCAGGCCAACGCCAAGUUUACAUCUCAGAUGUCUCAGCUACAAGCGGAGGUGAAACAAUUGUUAAGUUGGCAGAAUCAGUCACAGCCUCCUCAGGCAUUGUCUACCUUUUCUGUACCUUGUCAGUCCGAAGCCCAAGACCGCCCUAAACCAGUUCCAGCCCCAAGACAGCCAAGAGUAGCUGAACCUGUAGCAAAUUCAAACAAUGCCCAAGCCUCUUACAAUGCAUCGCAAGAUAGUAGUUCAGCAGAAAGUGUGGAGAGCUAUGGGGGUUCUAGCAGUCAAGAAAGUUUGUCCUCUUCUGUUGAGGGCAUGAGAAAUCUGUCCCUGAGCUCAUCCAGGAAGAAGAAUGUUAAUAUCAGUCCAGCAAUUGUUAGACAAAUUUGUCGGAGAAAGAGUGGAGGAACUCAAGCCGAGAAUGUAAGAAGUUAUGUUCGCUCUGGAUCUCCACAAUCUUCUUCCAGAUGGCACAGCUUGUCUUCUAGGAGCAAGAGACGGCACCACCACUCUCUGAGUCCAACUACUGACCAGGAAAGAGUAUAUUGUGGCCCUACUCCUACAAUUCCUGACCUGAUUUACCCAAACCCCAGAGAGUUUACACGGCUUAAGAUUGCUUUAGAAAACAUUCUACCAGCUGAUGCUAUAGAACGCUUUAAAUUUCAUAUCCUGCUAGAACAUCUCAAGGUUGAAGAGGCUCAGUUAAUUGCUGAAUCUUACAGUAGUUCACGUCAUCCUUAUACCAACACUAUGGAUGCUCUCAAUAAACAGUAUGGCCAGCCACAUCAGUUAGCAUUACAGCGCAUAGUGGAAUUGAUGGAUGGGCCCAGCAUCAGCACUGGAGAUAUUAAAACUUUUCGAAUGUAUGCUCUGAGGGUGAGAUCCUUGGUGGGAAUGCUGAAACAACUAGGUAAGCCUGGCAUGAUGGAAUUAAGAUGUGGCUCGCAUGUCUCCAGACUUCUGAGUAAGUUGCCACAUGAUCUGCGUAGCAGUUUCAGAAGAUUUAUUUAUCCAUUAGAUGUGAAGAUUCCAACCCUCCUUAACUUAGCAGAGUGGUUCGAAUAUGAAAUCCAAGUGCAAGAAGAUUCCACAAGGUAUGUAAGCCGUUCGGGCAGAGGAUACUCAACCAGUUUGCCCAGGGAUAGGUCAAGGAGGUUGACAUCAUUCAACAAGGGCACAGAGGUUCUGCUUAGCACAGAGAAAUACCCUUCAUCACCACCACAUUCCUCAGCUGUCACUGCUAAGAUCACCAUGAGGAAAUCUUACUGCCCUUAUUGUGAUAACAACAAACACACUUUGAAUAACUGUGUAAAUUUCUCUCAACUUUCCAAGUCUCAGAGGCAGAAUUGGAUUAAGGGGCACAAUCGAUGCUGGUGCUGUGGACGGGGCCAUAGAUCAUCAGAGUGUAACCUUAAAAUGCGCUGCAAAACAUGCAAUGGUCGUCACUUGCUUGUUCUUCAUGAUGUUAAUAUAUGGAACAAGGAGAAAGUAGUGGAAGGAGAAGAUCCAUCUACUAGCCCUGUCUUGGGGGAGGCUGCAAAUGAGGUGUUAUUCAUUGACAAGCCCCCAGGAAGUCGUAAGGUACUGUUGAAGAUAUGUAAAGUGAUUCUAAGAAAUGGAGAUCGAUCGAUGACCUCUUAUGCCAUUCUGGAUGAUGGCUCCGAAAGAACCAUCUUGUUAAAUACUGCAGCAACCCGGGUGAAACUGGAAGGUAAGCCAGAGGACUUGCCCCUGCGUACUGUCAGACAAGAAUUAAAGGUCCUGCAUGGGGCGGCUGUUUCCUUUAACAUUUCACCAGCCUGCCAGCCAAACAAGAUGUAUCGGAUCAAUGGAGCAUUCACUGCAGCGGAGUUGGGGCUUGGAGUGCACUGUUAUCCUGUCAAGGCUUUACGGAAAAGGUACCGUCAUCUUAAAGGACUUCCCCUCCAAGAAAUUAAAGCUGCUCAUCCAGUUUUGCUCAUCGGAUCUGACUGCCCUCAUUUAAUUACCCCAGUUGAGCCAGUUCGCUUAGGUCCACCAGGGGGUCCUGCUGCAAUUAGAACUCUCCUUGGAUGGACAAUGCAAGGACCAGUUCAAGCAUUAAAGCAUCUUCUUAGAGAGCAACAGUGUCUGUUCACAACAAGUUGGUCACCCUCUGCUAUGUUGCAUGAACAAGUUGAAAGACUCUGGCAACUGGAUGUCCUUCCGUAG
rnacentral:lncRNA from 1 species